GACGAACGCUGGCGGCGUGCUUAACACAUGCAAGUCGAACGGAAAGGCCCUGCUUUUGUGGGGUGCUCGAGUGGCGAACGGGUGAGUAACACGUGAGUAACCUGCCCUUGACUUUGGGAUAACUUCAGGAAACUGGGGCUAAUACCGGAUAGGAGCUCCUGCUGCAUGGUGGGGGUUGGAAAGUUUCGGCGGUUGGGGAUGGACUCGCGGCUUGUCAGCUUGUUGGUGGGGGAGUGGCUUACCAAGGCUUUGACGGGUAGCCGGCCUGCGAGGGUGACCGGCCACAUUGGGACUGAGAUACGGCCCAGACUCCUACGGGAGGCAGCAGUGGGGAAUAUUGCACAAUGGGCGGAAGCCUGAUGCAGCAACGCCGCGUGCGGGAUGACGGCCUUCGGGUUGUAAACCGCUUUCGCCUGUGACGAAGCGUGAGUGACGGUAAUGGGUAAAGAAGCACCGGCUAACUACGUG
rnacentral:rRNA from 1 species